GAUGAACGCUGGCGGCGUGCCUAAUACAUGCAAGUCGAGCGAACGGACGAGAAGCUUGCUUCUCUGAUGUUAGCGGCGGACGGGUGAGUAACACGUGGAUAACCUACCUAUAAGACUGGGAUAACUUCGGGAAACCGGAGCUAAUACCGGAUAAUAUUUUGAACCGCAUGGUUCGAAAGUGAAAGACGGUCUUGCUGUCACUUAUAGAUGGAUCCGCGCUGCAUUAGCUAGUUGGUAAGGUAACGGCUUACCAAGGCAACGAUGCAUAGCCGACCUGAGAGGGUGAUCGGCCACACUGGAACUGAGACACGGUCCAGACUCCUACGGGAGGCAGCUGUAGGGAAUCUUCCGCAAUGGGCGAAAGCCUGACGGAGCAACGCCGCGUGAGUGAUGAAGGUCUUCGGAUCGUAAAACUCUGUUAUUAGGGAAGAACAUAUGUGUAAGUAACUGUGCACAUCUUGACGGUACCUAAUCAGAAAGCCACGGCUAACUACGUG
rnacentral:rRNA from 1 species